GACGAACGCUGGCGGCGUGCUUAACACAUGCAAGUCGAACGGAAAGGCCCUGCUUGCAGGGUACUCGAGUGGCGAACGGGUGAGUAACACGUGGGUGAUCUGCCCUGCACUUCGGGAUAAGCCUGGGAAACUGGGUCUAAUACCGGAUAGGAGCCAUUUUUAGUGUGAUGGUUGGAAAGUUUUUUCGGUGUAGGAUGAGCUCGCGGCCUAUCAGCUUGUUGGUGGGGUAAUGGCCUACCAAGGCGGCGACGGGUAGCCGGCCUGAGAGGGUGGACGGCCACAUUGGGACUGAGAGGCGGCCCAGACUCCUACGGGAGGCAGCAGGGGGGAAUAUUGCACAAUGGGCGCAAGCCGGAUGCAGCGACGCCGCGUGGGGGAUGACGGCCUUCGGGUUGUAAACUCCUUUCGCUAGGGACGAAGCUUUUUGUGACGGUACCUAGAUAAGAAGCACCGGCUAACUACGUG
rnacentral:rRNA from 1 species